ACAUCAGCGUUAUUUGAAUGCUAUUUGGCACCCAUUUGUUCCCUCUCUUAGUGGCUACUUCUGGGCACCAUCUCCCUCCUCCUUUGCCCUCACAGUCUUCAGCUUAGUUUGCCCACUACUCUUUGUUUACAAGUUGCUAUGGAGUCCUCACAUCAGGUGACCUCACAUCACAAUGACGUGUUGUGAUGUAAUUGGCAAAAAAUAUGCAGGCAAAGGAGGAGGAAGGAAAUGGUAUUCAGAACAGCAUCAGAACUAUUUUAAUCCUGCAGCCAGGCAAGCAAGAGUUAUUAUCAGAGCUCAAGGACACAUUCCAGCCAGGCGAAAACACUCAAGAAGAAUACCGAUGUACACGUGAGUAAACCCUCAGGUUCAUAUGGCCAGAGGACUGCCACCAAUGUUAUUCUCUACAGAAAACAAGCAGGAUGCAUUCUAAUUUUGAUUUCUGAAGAGCUAAUUGGAUUUGUAAAUUGUAUAGCUGGGAUGGUGAAGCUGCAGCCCUCUUGGUUCUUAGACACCAGCACUCAUCAGCUCCAGGCAGCGUGGUCAAUGAGGAUGGUUGGAGCUGUAG